GACGAACGCUGGCGGCGUGCUUAACACAUGCAAGUCGAACGGAAAGGCCCUGCUUUUGUGGGGUGCUCGAAUGGCGAACGGGUGAGUAACACGUGAGUAACCUGCCCUUAACUUUGGGAUAACUUCAGGAAACUGGGGCUAAUACCGGAUAGGAGCUCCUGCUGCAUGGUGGGGGUUGGAAAGUUUCGGCGGUUGGGGAUGGACUCGCGGCUUAUCAGCUUGUUGGUGGGGUAGUGGCUUACCAAGGCUUUGACGGGUAGCCGGCCUGAGAGGGUGACCGGCCACAUUGGGACUGAGAUACGGCCCAGACUCCUACGGGAGGCAGCAGUGGGGAAUAUUGCACAAUGGGCGGAAGCCUGAUGCAGCAACGCCGCGUGCGGGAUGACGGCCUUCGGGUUGUAAACCGCUUUCGCCUGUGACGAAGCGUGAGUGACGGUAAUGGGUAAAGAAGCACCGGCUAACUACGUG
rnacentral:rRNA from 1 species